rnacentral:ncRNA from 1 species
GGCUGCCGCGCACUCCACAGCAUGCGGGGCGGUACGAAAAGAAGGAGGUAUUUUUAACCGCGCGGCUCGCGGUGCGGCAGUGUGGAGACCUGCCGUAAUGCGCGGCGCAGCCAGCCUGCGCGCGCGAGGCGAACGAAGCGGAGGCUUUGCCGCCAGAGCCGGGGACAUGGCA